rnacentral:rRNA from 1 species
UACGUAGGGUGCGAGCGUUGUCCGGAAUUACUGGGCGUAAAGCGUGCGCAGGCGGUUUCUUAAGUCAGAUGUGAAAGCCCCGGGCUUAACCUGGGAACUGCGUUUGAAACUGGGAGACUUGAGUGUGGCAGAGGGGGGUGGAAUUCCACGUGUAGCAGUGAAAUGCGUAGAUAUGUGGAGGAACACCGAUGGCGAAGGCAGCCCCCUGGGUUAACACUGACGCUCAUGCACGAAAGCGUGGGGAGCAAACAGG